UACGGAGGGUGCAAGCGUUAUCCGGAUUCAUUGGGUUUAAAGGGUGCGCAGGCGGUACCUUAAGUCAGUGGUGAAAUCCCUUCGCUUAACGAAGGAACUGCCAUUGAUACUGAGGUUCUUGAAUGUAGUUGACGUUAGUGGAAUGUGUCAUGUAGCGGUGAAAUGCUUAGAUAUCAGGAGGAACACCGAUGGCGAAGGCAGGUCUCUGGGCCGAUACUGACGCUGAGGAGCGAAAGCGUGGGGAGCGAACAGG
rnacentral:rRNA from 1 species